rnacentral:rRNA from 1 species
AAAUUGAAGAGUUUGAUCAUGGCUCAGAUUGAACGCUGGCGGCAGGCCUAACACAUGCAAGUCGAACGGUAACAGGAAGCAGCUUGCUGCUUCGCUGACGAGUGGCGGACGGGUGAGUAAUGUCUGGGAAACUGCCUGAUGGAGGGGGAUAACUACUGGAAACGGUGGCUAAUACCGCAUAACGUCGCAAGACCAAAGAGGGGGACCUUCGGGCCUCUUGCCAUCAGAUGUGCCCAGAUGGGAUUAGCUUGUUGGUGAGGUAACGGCUCACCAAGGCGACGAUCCCUAGCUGGUCUGAGAGGAUGACCAGCCACACUGGAACUGAGACACGGUCCAGACUCCUACGGGAGGCAGCAGUGGGGAAUAUUGCACAAUGGGCGCAAGCCUGAUGCAGCCAUGCCGCGUGUAUGAAGAAGGCCUUCGGGUUGUAAAGUACUUUCAGCGGGGAGGAAGGUGUUGCGGUUAAUAACCGCAGCAAUUGACGUUACCCGCAGAAGAAGCACCGGCUAACUCCGUGCCAGCAGCCGCGGUAAUACGGAGGGUGCAAGCGUUAAUCGGAAUUACUGGGCGUAAAGCGCACGCAGGCGGUCUGUCAAGUCGGAUGUGAAAUCCCCGGGCUCAACCUGGGAACUGCAUUCGAAACUGGCAGGCUUGAGUCUUGUAGAGGGGGGUAGAAUUCCAGGUGUAGCGGUGAAAUGCGUAGAGAUCUGGAGGAAUACCGGUGGCGAAGGCGGCCCCCUGGACAAAGACUGACGCUCAGGUGCGAAAGCGUGGGGAGCAAACAGGAUUAGAUACCCUGGUAGUCCACGCCGUAAACGAUGUCUACUUGGAGGUUGUGCCCUUGAGGCGUGGCUUCCGGAGCUAACGCGUUAAGUAGACCGCCUGGGGAGUACGGCCGCAAGGUUAAAACUCAAAUGAAUUGACGGGGGCCCGCACAAGCGGUGGAGCAUGUGGUUUAAUUCGAUGCAACGCGAAGAACCUUACCUGGUCUUGACAUCCACAGAACUUUCCAGAGAUGGACUGGUGCCUUCGGGAACUGUGAGACAGGUGCUGCAUGGCUGUCGUCAGCUCGUGUUGUGAAAUGUUGGGUUAAGUCCCGCAACGAGCGCAACCCUUAUCCUUUGUUGCCAGCGAUUAGGUCGGGAACUCAAAGGAGACUGCCAGUGAUAAACUGGAGGAAGGUGGGGAUGACGUCAAGUCAUCAUGGCCCUUACGACCAGGGCUACACACGUGCUACAAUGGCGCAUACAAAGAGAAGCGACCUCGCGAGAGCAAGCGGACCUCAUAAAGUGCGUCGUAGUCCGGAUUGGAGUCUGCAACUCGACUCCAUGAAGUCGGAAUCGCUAGUAAUCGUGGAUCAGAAUGCCACGGUGAAUACGUUCCCGGGCCUUGUACACACCGCCCGUCACACCAUGGGAGUGGGUUGCAAAAGAAGUAGGUAGCUUAACCUUCGGGAGGGCGCUUACCACUUUGUGAUUCAUGACUGGGGUGAAGUCGUAACAAGGUAACCGUAGGGGAACCUGCGGUUGGAUCACCUCCUUACCUGAAAGAA